UACGUAGGUGACAAGCGUUGUCCGGAUUUACUGGGCGUAAAGAGCGCGCAGGCGGUCGUUCAAGUCGAGUGUGAAAGCCCCCGGCUCAACUGGGGAGGGUCACUCGAUACUGAUCGACUCGAAGGCAGGAGAGGGAAGUGGAAUUCCACGUGUAGCAGUGAAAUGCGUAGAGAUGUGGAGGAACACCGAUGGCGAAGGCAGCCCCUGGGUCAAGAUUGACGCUCAUGCACGAAAGCGUGGGAGCAAACAGG
rnacentral:rRNA from 1 species